CCUACGGUGAGCAGCAGUAAGGGAUAUUGGUCAAUGGGGGAAACCCUGAACCAGCAACGCCGCGUGAGGGAAGACGGUUUUCGGAUUGUAAACCUCUGUCCUCUGUGAAGAUGAUGACGGUAGCAGAGUAAGAAGCUCCGGCUAAAUACGUGCCAGCAGCCGCGGUAAUACGUAUGGAGCAAGCGUUAUCCGGAUUUACUGGGCGUAAAGGGAGCGUAGGCGGCCUGCCAAGUCUGAUGUGAAAUACCGGGGCUCAACCCCGGGGCUGCAUUGGAAACUGGCAGGCUGGAGUGCCGGAGAGGCAGGCGGAAUUCCUAGUGUAGCGGUGAAAUGCGUAGAUAUUAGGAGGAACACCAGUGGCGAAGGCGGCCUGCUGGACGGUGACUGACGCUGAGGCUCGAAAGCGUGGGGAGCAAACAGGAUUAGAUACCCCGGUAGUC
rnacentral:rRNA from 1 species